AUUGAACGCUGGCGGCAGGCCUAACACAUGCAAGUCGAGCGGGGGUAGCAAUACCCUAGCGGCGAACGGGUGAGGAAUGCUUGGGAAUCUGCCUGGUAGUGGGGGGAUAACGUUCCGAAAGGAACGCUAAUACCGCAUACGUCCUACGGGAGAAAGGGGGGGAUCUUCGGACCUCUCGCUAUCAGAUGAGCCCAAGCGGGAUUAGCUAGUUGGUGAGGUAAAGGCUCACCAAGGCGACGAUCCCUAGCUGGUCUGAGAGGACGACCAGCCACACUGGGACUGAGACACGGCCCAGACUCCUACGGGAGGCAGCAGUGGGGGAAUAUUGGACAAUGGGCGCAAGCCUGAUCCAGCCAUGCCGCGUGAGUGAUGAAGGCCUUAGGGUUGUAAAGCUCUUUUGUCCGGGGACGGAUAAUGACGGUACCCGGACGAAUAAGUCCCGGCUAACUCGUGCCAGCAGCCGCGGUAAU
rnacentral:rRNA from 1 species